GAUGAACGCUGGCGGCGUGCCUAAUACAUGCAAGUCGAGCGAACGGACGAGAAGCUUGCUUCUCUGAUGUUAGCGGCGGACGGGUGAGUAGCACGUGGAUAACCUACCUAUAAGACUGGGAUAACUUCGGGAAACCGGAGCUAAUACCGGAUAAUAUUUUGAACCGCAUGGUUCAAAAGUGAAAGACGGUCUUGCUGUCACUUAUAGAUGGAUCCGCGCUGCAUUAGCUAGUUGGUAAGGUAACGGCUUACCAAGGCAACGAUGCAUAGCCGACCUGAGAGGGUGAUCGGCCACACUGGAACUGAGACACGGUCCAGACUCCUACGGGAGGCAGCAGUAGGGAAUCUUCCGCAAUGGGCGGAAGCCUGACGGAGCAACGCCGCGUGAGUGAUGAAGGUCUUCGGAUCGUAAAACUCUGUUAUUAGGGAAGAACAUAUGUGUAAGUAACUGUGCACAUCUUGACGGUACCUAAUCAGAAAGCCACGGCUAACUACGUG
rnacentral:rRNA from 1 species